rnacentral:rRNA from 1 species
ACGGGAGGCAGCAGUGGGGAAUAUUGGGCAAUGGAGGCAACUCUGACCCAGCAACGCCGCGUGAAUGAUGAAGGUCUUCGGAUUGUAAAGUUCUUUUCUAAGGGACGAAGAAAGUGACGGUACCUUAGGAAUAAGCCUCGGCUAACUACGUGCCAGCAGCCGCGGUAAUACGUAGGAGGCAAGCGUUAUCCGGAAUGACUGGGCGUAAAGGGUGCGUAGGUGGUUCAGCAAGUUGGCAGCGUAACUCCGAGGCUCAACCUCGGCACUACUGCCAAAACUGUCGGACUUGAGUGCAGUAGGGGCAAUUGGAAUUCCUAGUGUAGCGGUGGAAUGCGUAGAUAUUAGGAGGAACACCAGUGGCGAAGGCGAAUUGCUGGACUGUAACUGACACUGAGGCACGAAAGCGUGGGGAGCAAACAGGAUUAGAUACCCUGGUA